AUGGAAAUCUCUGUAAUUUUUAGAUAGUAUAGGGGCGGAUGUAGCCAAGUGGAUCAAGGCAGUGGAUUGUGAAUCACCA
rnacentral:tRNA from 2 species